AUGCAACUUCUGCCAUGGUGUUACAUUGGUGGUAUUACUCGAAUGAAGUACCACCUUGCAAAUGUCAAGUAUCAAAAUGUCGUUUUGUGCCAACAAGUUCCAGCUGAUGUGAAGCAAGAGAUGAGGGAUAAGAUCUCAAGGAAAGAUGAAGCAAAGGAAAAGAAGGCCAGGGAAUCAUCAAUACGCAGAAGUGACGUCACUUUGGAUGGAAAUGAUGCUAGGGCUACUGAUGAAGAUGACAUCUUGGGUGGUGGUAGUGGGGGUGGUUUGCUUGUAUUAUCAGGGAAACGACAGAGUAAGGGCAACACAUAUGGUUCUAUGGAUAAGUUUUGCACCAAGUCAACAGAAGAGGUUGUGGCCGCAAGGAAGGGGGAAGGCUUUUCUACAAAGUUGCAAACCAAGUUGUCCACUCAAAGAAGGGAAGAGAGGCGGGUUCGUGCUUGUGAGUAUGUUUGUCAGUUCUUCUAUGAAGCCGGAAUUGCCCACAAUGCAGUCUUGCUUCCAAGCUUUGAACUUAUACUUGAAGCGGUUGGAGCGUUCGGGACAGACAUGAAAGGCCCCACUCCUUAUGAAAUGGGUGGCCCUUACUUACAGAAGAGCAAGAAGAAAGACGAGGAAGGAUUUGCUGGACAUAAAGAAGCAUGGAAGCUCACUGGAUGUACCGUCAUGACAGAUGCAUGGACAGACAAAAGAGGAAGGGGAGUGAUGAAUUUGAAAGAUAUCUCCGUGAGGUUUGACAAUGACAAGUCUCGCUUUCUGGAAGUGUGGGACAUCAUUGACAAGAGAUGGGACAACAAGUUGAAGACUGCAUUACAUAUGGCUGGAUACUACUUGAACCCAUACUAUUAUUAUCCAAACAAGCUUGAUAUUGAGAUCGAUGGUAGUUUCAAAGAAGGGCUGAUAACUUGUAUUUCAAAGAUGGUUGAAGAUCCUAUCAUGCAAGAAGAAAUACUCGAUGAGAUUGACCACUAUCAAGAGGGGAUAUGGUCUUUUGGAAGGGACAUUGUUGUACGGCAAAGGAAAAACAAGAAGUUUGAUCCAGCUAAAUGGUGGAUGAACCAUGGGACAAGUGCUCCAAAACUAAGGAACUUGGCUGCAAGGAUUCUUGGUUUGACAUGUAGUUCCUCUGCUUGUGAGAGGAACUGGAGUGUAUUUGAUCAAGUUCACACAAAGAGACGCAGCAGGAUACUGCAUGACAAGAUGAGUGACCUUGUUUUCAUCAAGUUCAACUCCAAACUAAAGGACAAGAAACUAAACAAACGCAAGGACCCCAUUGAGAAGCAGGUGGUAGAUGUUUUAGAAGAUGAUGAGAAUGAAUGGAUCACUAGUGUAGUGCCAAAUGGUGAUGAAGAACAAGGUGAAGAUCAAGAUUAA
rnacentral:rRNA from 1 species